CAGUCGCCGCGGGAAUACGUAGGUGGCAAGCGUUGUCCGGAAUUAUUGGGCGUAAAGGGCUCGCAGGCGGUUUCUUAAGUCUGAUGUGAAAGCCCCCGGCUCAAUCGGGGAGGGUCAUUGGAAACUGGGAAACUUGAGUGCAGAAGAGGAGAGUGGAAUUCCACGUGUAGCGGUGAAAUGCGUAGAGAUGUGGAGGAACACCAGUGGCGAAGGCGACUCUCUGGUCUGUAACUGACGCUGAGGAGCGAAAGCGUGGGGAGCGAACAGGAUUAGAUACCCCAGUAGUCCCUGUCUCUUAUAC
rnacentral:rRNA from 1 species